rnacentral:rRNA from 1 species
UACGGAGGGUGCAAGCGUUAUCCGGAUUUACUGGGUUUAAAGGGUGCGUAGGUGGGUUUGUAAGUCAGUGGUGAAAUCUCCGAGCUUAACUCGGAAACUGCCAUUGAUACUAUAAGUCUUGAAUUAUCUGGAGGUAAGCGGAAUAUGUCAUGUAGCGGUGAAAUGCUUAGAUAUGACAUAGAACACCAAUUGCGAAGGCAGCUUACUACGGAUACAUUGACACUGAGGCACGAAAGCGUGGGGAUCAAACAGG